rnacentral:rRNA from 1 species
GACAGAGGGUGCAAGCGUUGUUCGGAUUUACUGGGCGUAAAGCGCGUGUAGGCGGCUUUGCAAGUCGGAUGUGAAAUCCCACGGCUCAACCGUGGAAGUGCAUCCGAAACUGCAUCGCUCGAGUCUCGGAGAGGAAGGUGGAAUGCUUGGUGUAGAGGUGAAAUUCGUAGAUAUCAAGCAGAACACCUGCGGCGAAGGCGGCCUUCUGGACGGUGACUGACGCUGAGACGCGAAAGCGUGGGGAGCAAACAGG